UACGGAGGUGGCAAGCGUUGCUCGGAAUCAGCUAGGGCGUAAGGGCGCGUAGGGCGGGGAGGUAAGUCGGGUGGUGAAAUCCCUCGGCCCAAACCCGAGGAACUGCGCCCCGGAGACUGCUUCUCGUUGAGUCCCGGAGGAGGAAGGAGUGGAAUUCCCGGUGUAGCGGUGAAAUGUGUAGAGAUCGGGAGGAACGACCGGUGGCGAAGGCGGUCUUAGCUGGGACGGUGACUGGACCGCUGAGCGCGAAGGUCAGGGGAGCG
rnacentral:rRNA from 1 species